AUUUUUUAUUUGGUAAAAUUUUAGAAAUUUUAUAAAAUAGAGAGAAAAAGAGAAGAUAAUAUAGAGAAGUUAAUAGAUUGUAUGUAUUUUAUUGAGGAUUAAAAUCCCAUAUUUAAGAGAAAAAUUAGGGAUACAAGAGAUACAAUAUUCAUAAUAAUUAUGGUUUCAGGAAUAUAAUGGUCAUUCACCAAUAGACAUAUAAUUUACAAUGUUCCCUUUGAAUAACAUAUUGCAAAUAUAUGCAUCAUUAAAACCUUAUUUAAUAAAAAAAUCAAUGGACAAAUUUAGAAAUAAAGGAAAAAGUGCACAUUUAUUUUUGGAUUAUUAGGAAUAAAUGCUCCUUAAUAAAAAAUUAUCAAGAAAAUUCCAUGGGAUAAAACAUAAGCAAAUGAAAAAGAGUACAGUUACUAUUUUUUAUGUUGAUCACAAUAAAUCACUGGGUCGACACAUUCCUAACUCGUGUAGCAAUUUCUUGAAUGUUGGUAAUGCUUUUGUGAAUAAAACAGCCAAAUUAUUACUUGAGCAAAUUUAUCGAUUAUCGAUGUCACGAAUCUUUUGAAACUUAUACACAUAGAUGAAUUUUAGAGAAAUAUGAUUUAUUAUUAUUAUUUUCUUUUUAUAUAGCCUCUUUGUGUUAUGUAAUAUAAGCUGGA
rnacentral:lncRNA from 1 species